rnacentral:snoRNA from 1 species
UGCAGCCUUGUCAAAUUCAGUGCUUCCUCCUCAGUGGAUACCGCUGGCCAAAAUGGCUGCCACAGUGAAGGUGUAGUUCAUGGGCCUCAUGGCGCUUCAAAAUGGCCACUGGGGAUAAAUAUGUACUGCACACAAAU